GCCGCGUGUGUGAAGAAGGCCUGCGGGUUGUAAAGCACUUUCAGUAGGGAGGAAACAGUAACGGAACAAUACCCGUUGCCUUGACGUUACCUACAGAAGAAGCACCGGCUAACUCUGUGCCAGCAGCCGCGGUAAUAAUCACU
rnacentral:rRNA from 1 species